rnacentral:rRNA from 1 species
AAAAGGGAAGCGCUUGUGACCAGACUUGCGUCCGGUGAAUCACCCAGCUCUCGCGGCUGGGGCACUUCGCCGGCACAGGCCAGCAUCAGCUUGCCGUCGGGGACAAAAGCUUCAGGAACGUAGCUCCUCUCGGGGAGUGUUAUAGCCUGUUGUAUAAUACCCUUCGGCGGGCUGAGGUACGCGCUCCGCAAGGAUGCUGGCNUAAU